CGGGAAUUUACUUUUUUUUGUCUAAAUCAAAAAUUAAUCUAACAUGCAAGUUGUCUAUUAUCCUCUGACAUUGGUAACAUCCACCGAUCUCAAAGCUACGACUGAAUAGUGACAAUGAAGUCAAUGGUCUGACCACCGCACAUCUACAGUGACAUGUUAGAAGAGAUUCUUAAAGUUUCUGCAUAUCAUUGGUAUAAGAAUAAAAAAAAUAUUGCCUAUAGUCUAUACAAAGAAUUUGGUUAUUUGCAAGCGCCGUUUUUGUCAACACGGACGUCACUAAUGUACCGUAAUUUGUACAAUUUUUCAAUAAUAUGUUCGUAAAUUUAUCAAAAUUUUCCCUACAACUAUUACUUUUCAAUAAAUUAUGUACAAUUGUUUGCUCAAAUACAUGUUUUUUAAUUGUUAAAAUUGUUAAACUUGCCCGACGAAACUGCAAUAAUACAAUAUUGGGGGUGUCCCCCCUCCCCAAAUCCCCCUGUAGUUACGCCCUGGUUUUGUCGUAUGCAUGUGUUGAAAAUUACCACAAACUGACACAAAUACAGUUUUUAGCCCCCCCCCCCGUAAUCUGCAUGACAAAAACGUCGCUUGCUUAAGCCCACUACUAUCUCGUGUUUAAAACGAUCUAGAACUCAUCAGAAGAGGAGUGGGAAGAAAUAUCUUUCAAGUUUCAUAGAAGAUACUUUCUUGAUAGUAUCAUUAAUUUAAACACGUCACAAUUUGAUUCGUAACGAAUGAGACAGACUUAAAAAUCUCUCCUCGUAAAUAUUCUGGCUUCAAAAUUAAUUCCCUGAAUUCGAAUGGUUGCUCUUUCCAUUGUUAGAUCUUGCGAUCAGUGGUAAUAAAAUAACAGAAAGCAUGUUCACUGUUACUCACAGUCGCUUCCUGUCCUAUUGUUUUCUGCCCGAAUCUACACGUUCUACCUUUUUCUUCUCAACAUUUUCUGCCAGCAUCGAGAGUUUCGCCAUUUCAGAAUGAAGUGACUGAAUUUUGUCAGGAACGUAGUGUAACCGAUUCUAGAAUAGAAAUCACAUAUGCAACACAUAACAAGAAACAAUUAAAACUAAAACCAACUUCUGCAUUGACGAAUUGAGUAAUUUAACAAUUCAACUAGGCACAAUUAGUUGCCAGA